GCCCACAAUGCUCCUCCUACCUGCCAAUACCGCCAUCACAUUUAGGAGGCAGACUACUGAAACAGUGUUUUUCAGGAACUUUCCGGAUUUCCUGCCUGCUAGCUGAAAUGGACCAAAAGGAAUCGCUUGACCCUCACGAAUUCAUCAUUUACCGAGAGGACGACUUUCUGACUGUUGGACAUUGCGGGAUCGCAGGGGGUGCUGGAGCCUAUCAUAGCUGUAAUCAGGCGGAAGGCGCUACAACCGGGCGGAAGACGGUGUACACCCUGGACAAGUCGCCAUCUCAUUGCAGAGCUGACACAGAUAGAAAGACAACAAUCACACUCACAUUCACACACUCGGGCCACUUUAGUGUUGCCAAUCAACCUAUUCCCAGGUGUAUGUCUUUGGAUGUGGGAGGAAGCCGGAAUCACGGGGAGAACAUGCAAACUCCACACACUUUUAUAUUUAAUUUACUUAGACUUUACUAAAAUAACUGUUACCUAAUGUCUGUUUAUUUAAGUGAUAUCAGUGUAAAAACAUACUUAAACACUCCUCCAUACUACCCUGAACUGUGAAAUGCGGUGGAAACACAAUCCAUAAUUGGAGUGCAGUUUGUUAAAUGGAAAUGUGAAUGCUAUUCGAAUGUAUGGUGAAGAACUCGGGGUCAUAUUGCUAUUCUUGUAUUCUUUUUGCAAAUGUGUUGAGGGGAUAUUUCAGUGAGACUGAUCUAAAUCCAAAGUGAAGUCAAAGAGCCCAGAGAAUAAGCUCCGUUAUUGAUCUGUAGUUCCUGCACAACGUCUUUGCUCCCCUCCAGUUAAUCCACAGGGUCAGCUCUAAUGACAUUGAGGAGCUCUGCCGCCAGUCUACCAUUUGCAAUUUAGAUGCUGGGUGGGGAGACAAUAUGUGGGUAAUAAUGUGCAGGGAAAGUCAAGUAGAAUGAGAGCACGGUCCUAACACCAAAAUGCUAGCACAAAUUAAUGUUGUGCUUUAACAGUCUGCCAUAAUUCCCAGGUUCGUCCCUCAGUUUUAAGAUCAGGGUUUCUUUUAUUUUGUCAGCCUAGAUUUUCAUAUUUAAGGGAGGUGCAUUUCCUGUGCCUCACUUCAAAUGUUGGAAAUCGUUUCACAGCUGUACCGAAAUGAGAUAAAUUCCAAAUACGAGUACGUGUGAUGUUAUACCCCGAGCAUUAACAACUGACAGUGACUGUUUUUGAAAGGAGAUGUUGUCCGUCUUUGUGAUAAAUCUGCGAAGAAGGGGUUAAGGACUAAUUUUGUGCUGUUGUAUUUUGUAUUUUUUUGCACCCACCAGAAGAAUUCCUGUGGCAAAACAGGAAGCCACAGGGGUAACAAUUACCAGCUUUAAUCUUGUGCAGAUCCUCUGAUAGCUUUCUGCACCACAAACAAUGGUCUUCAAGCCUGAGGUGGCUCUGAAUGUUGCUGAAAGAUGUGACAACCAGGCACAACUGAUCUGUCUGUUUUGUCGGGAAGGUGUGGUCAUUUGAAAUUCUUUUGCCGCAACAAGAUGCUUUUGUUUAUGUACAUCAAGACCACAGCAACCCAGCUGGCCUUUUUUAUAUUUUACAACCCGUGUCUUCUGCCUUCACAUCUGAUCUGCAUAUAUCCAGACUUUUAAAAAACAUAACCUUUGUCUGUUUUGAAUGUGUUGGUGGAAAACUAUACAUUACAAUAACAGUCUAUACAAUACCCAGAAUAAAAUUACCGAAUUUAAGUUGGAGCCUUGCGGGGUCUUCGACAAAGGAGUUCAAAAAUAAUCUGAGUUGUAAACCUGAAGUGUGAUUUGAUUGACCCAAAGAUGGGAAACUCUGUGUUUCGAGUUCCAGCUGAUCUGAGUUAGUUCAAUCAAUUCUGAGUAAAACGACUCUUGAGUUAAGACUACAGUAAAAAACAUGAUUAUUGGAGCGCUGAUUCUACGAUUUGCGAUAAUAGCUGGUGACAAAAAAGGCUGAUUUUCUUUAACCAGCUGGGACUGAAAGGGUUAAUAUAUGUUUUUAGUGAGUAUGUACAUUUUUAGAAAUAAUAAUAAUACCUUUUUUAUUAUGUAGAUAUUUUUGUGAGACUGUGCACAAAACCUACACACACGCGCGUUUAUGACCUCCUAAUCUAGAGCCAUAGGGCUUAAUGUCAGUGUUCUCCGCUUUGGCAGCUACCGUAUAUUUGCUUUUAUUCUUCUUGGAAGACUUUGUUGAAUUUUAGUGUGUCUAAAUGAAUUUCUCAUUAUGAAGAACAUUUGUGAUGUCACCGAGGUUAAAUGAGAAGAUUAUCUCAAAGGUGUUUGAUGGGGGUUGAGGUCAGCGCUUUCAAAUACUAUAUUGACCUGAAUAUGAGUCUGAAAAAAAUGGCUUGUAUCAUAUUCGGGGUUUAGAGAUUUACGGUAAAUCCCCGCUAUCUACGGAGUUUGCGUUCCAAGAUGACCCAGUAAAUAGCGAAAAACUGAACAAAUAGAUGUACUUAUAAAAAGUCCUGUCUUUGAUUCUCUAAAUCAGGGGUGUCAAACUUAUGGCCCGAGAGAUGAUUUGAAAUGAGUUGAAAUUUUUGAAUGAAAGAAACUGCUGUUCUCAAUGUGUCCACUGAAGGUCACAAUAGGAAUUUUUUGUAUCCCCUGCCGCAAGAGCGCGCAUGACUUCACAGGAGGCAUAGCUAUGUGCCCGGUUAAGGUAGAGGACUGGGGGCCCAUUAUCUGUGUGCACCUAAAUAUACUGAAAUAAUAUGAUUCCCCUUCUAACUUCAUGUGUGAUGAAUGAAAUGAGUCCAAAUUCACAAGUUUUGUUGUGGAUGAUGCAGUUCAUCAGUUGAGGAAAAUGAGUAAACUACAAUAAUAACACCCCGUAAUUUAUUUUGAUAUUAUUAUUUAUUUCAUCUUCUGAUUGAUUAAAAAUGAACACCAAUGGGAACAUUUUAAAACUCUGCCAGACUCAAUUCCACGUAUUUGACUGAUGAAUAUUAUCACAUAAUUUAUUCAGAAAGUAUAAAUCAAUACAAAUGAAAAUAGACUACUAUUAACAGCCACAUGUAAGUUUAAAAAAACACAGUAAGUUGUCUUUAUUUUUAAGUUAUCAUGCCGUGAUUUUACCAGUGCGGCCCAUUUGGGAAUAGAUUUUCCUGUGUGACCCCAGACGUAAAAUGAGCUUGACACCUUGUGAUAUGCCUUUCUUGGUUAUGACACAAAUGUUAUAUUAAGUUUUACAUAAUAAAAACAAUUACAGGCAGAGUAUACCAGUUUUGGUGGCGAGGUUCAUGGCUUUUGAGGCAUUGACUCCCUUAGUUAUUUUUUUUAAUGUCAAAAUAAAAAUUUAAAUUACUGUUUUAAUUGAUUUUACCCUUUAAAAUUGCUUUUAAUCAUAUUUGUUUUUACAUUGUUUUUUUUUAUAUUGGUUUUAUAUUUUUGUUUUUUUUUUGUUUUUAUUCAGUCAUUGGUGGAGCAUAAUAUUGUUUUUUUAAUGUUGUUUUUAACAUGGCUGUGCAGCACUUUGGAAACGUUAUUGUUGUUUAAAUGUGCUAUAUAAAUAAAGUGGAUUGGAUUGGAUUGAAAA